rnacentral:rRNA from 1 species
UUUGAUCCUGGCUCAGAUUGAACGCUGGCGGCAGGCUUAACACAUGCAAGUCGAGCGGGGGAAGGUAGCUUGCUACCGGACCUAGCGGCGGACGGGUGAGUAAUGCUUAGGAAUCUGCCUAUUAGUGGGGGACAACAUCUCGAAAGGGAUGCUAAUACCGCAUACGUCCUACGGGAGAAAGCAGGGGAUCUUCGGACCUUGCGCUAAUAGAUGAGCCUAAGUCGGAUUAGCUAGUUGGUGGGGUAAAGGCCUACCAAGGCGACGAUCUGUAGCGGGUCUGAGAGGAUGAUCCGCCACACUGGGACUGAGACACGGCCCAGACUCCUACGGGAGGCAGCAGUGGGGAAUAUUGGACAAUGGGGGGAACCCUGAUCCAGCCAUGCCGCGUGUGUGAAGAAGGCCUUAUGGUUGUAAAGCACUUUAAGCGAGGAGGAGGCUACUUUAGUUAAUACCUAGAGAUA